rnacentral:rRNA from 1 species
GAUGAACGCUGGCGGCGUGCUUAACACAUGCAAGUCGAACGGAAAGGCCAGUGCUUGCACUGGUACUCGAGUGGCGAACGGGUGAGUAACACGUGGGUGAUCUGCCCUGCACUUCGGGAUAAGCCUGGGAAACUGGGUCUAAUACCGGAUAGGACAAUGGUUUGGAUGCCGUUGUGGAAAGUUUUUUCGGUGUGGGAUGAGCUCGCGGCCUAUCAGCUUGUUGGUGGGGUAAUGGCCUACCAAGGCGUCGACGGGUAGCCGGCCUGAGAGGGUGUACGGACACAUUGGGAAUGAGAUACGGCCCAGACUCCUACGGGGGGCAGCAGUGGGGAAUAUUGCACAAUGGGCGCAAGCCUGAUGCAGCGACGCCGCGUGGGGGAUGACGGCCUUCGGGUUGUAAACUCCUUUCGCUAGGGACGAAGCGUAUUUGUGACGGUACCUGGAGAAGAAGCACCGGCUAACUACGUG